UUACUUCUCUGACUCAACAUUUAGCCUUCUGUUUAGCUGACCAUGGCCUGCAGCUGAAUCUGUCUUUACUAGUGUUGGUCAUGUGUAAGCCAAAACACAGCCUGCAUGCUUAUACCAUAGUUGGCUUUGCAGUAAUAGAGCAAGUAUUGAAGACAGGGAAGCCUUGUAAUAUUUCUUUUUAGUUAUGACUUUAAUAGGAGGAAGGAGUUCAGCAUGUGCUAUUUUUUAUGUGGCUAGUCAUACAUCAAGAUUGUAAGAUCUUUGGAGCAGAUGUAUUUUGCGUAAUCCUUUCUACCUCAUUUUCUCCACAGAGCUUUGAUCUGUGAUUAGAUCUAUGUGUAUAAAUCUGUUUAUGUAGCAGUUAGUUACUCAUAGCAGAACCAAUUCUUGAGCCUAGUACAAAGCUAGAAAUGAGGCAAAUAGGGUAUUUGUAGUGCUUUGAGUGUACAAACCUUUAAUGCGUUCUUAAAUACAGAAAUUGGUGCCCAAGCUUAAUAGCUAUCACAUGCAAAAUAUGUUUACCCUGAUAUUUUGAAAUUACUACUUACAACAGGCCUCACGGGCUCCUUGUCCCCUUUGUGUGCAUGUGUUAUUCCCACUGUUGAUGAUGGGAAUUAGCUGUACACAUCAGGAGGAGGAUAUACCCCCUGGACUAGAACUUAGACAGUAGGGAGUAUGAAAUCCUCCAGCUAUUAGAUAGCAAGAACAGCACAGCUUCAGCAUUGCUCCCACUUGGCUUGUCACCUCUGCAUUUUGUAAUUCUGUGCUAAGGAAAUAGUAAUGGAAGUAGCAGCUGUGAAAUGUGAUGAUAGCACAGUGCUACCUUGAUAGAAAUUGCAGCUCAGAGCUGCGGACCAAGUGUGGCCCUUUAAGGACUUUGAAUGAUGGAAGUGAUCUGUUUCUUCAGGAAAAAGCAGCCAUCCAGGCUGACCCUAGUGUAAAGCUUAUGUCACUUGCUGCAUUAAUAAAUGGUUGUCCAGAGAGAGGAUUGCUUUCAUUUGUGUCCUUUAAAAUAUAUUUUCAAAUUUGCAUUCAGUUAUUUGUUUCAUCUAUUAGGCCAGAUCUCUUCUCAAGAUGUUCUGUUCUUUGAAUUGCCAUGGUUUAUUGUUUCUUUUCUAGUACUGUCUGGGUAGCUGUUACCUUCAGUCACAUGAGUGAAGUUUAUAUAUAUCAGAUAUGUCUGGAUAUAAACGGUGUUGGACUUGACAUUCUCAGUUUCUUCUAUGAAUUCCACAUCUAAGGGGCUACACAGCAGGUAACUCAUAACUGAUCUGAGAUAUGAUAGAGCCAGCCUGCUUUUUCAAAGCAUCCUAAGGACCAUUACCUCAUUUAAUCUUUCAUUUCUAUGACUUUUAAUAAAAGCCCAGAAGGUAAGAAGGAGAUGGACUAAAAUAAUCUGUUAAUUAAAAACAAGCAAACAAAAAAUAACCCCCCCAAAAAAUGAAAAGAAAGCACCAACUUUAGACUAUACAUUCUAUACAUAGAAUUGGCCAGGGCUUUUUCGUUACAGUAAGUCUGAAAUGUGAAAGUGUCUUAGGUGAAUCUGUUGGCAUAGCAACUUAGAUUGAGCAGAAGAGUGCCAUCAUAGUCAGAAAAUAGUGUAUGUUGUGAUACUGUUGCCUGCUACUGCCACUUCUCUGCAGACAGGGCCCUCUGGGGUUCACAUUAAACUCAUAAUGAUUCAGUUCAAGCUUCUAAGAACAUUUGGCCCCGGCAGCACAUACACUGUAGCUUGAUGUAGAUCUACCAACAGUCACUCCCAUAACAGCAGGAUGGCACCUAACCCUGUAGUUACCACGCUGAGAAGGGGCAGAAGGUCCAUUUUACCUCCAACAGAGUCAUAUGGUUUUUGCCUUCAUCAUCAACUGAUAGUUUAUUUGUUGCUUCUCUCAGGGUGGUUUGAAGGCUACAGAAGUUACUGGAUGGAAUACUAGGCUGUGCCUUGCUAUGUGGGAUAAAGGGAGUAGGAGUGUCUGUUCUCUGGGGGAGGAAAACAGAGGCACUACAGGUAGUGUAUGAAGCAUUUAUAUAUGGCAGCAUUGAGGAAAAACAGACUAUCAAAGCCUUACACUUUGUCAAUGAUAAUAACAGCAGAUGUUAUGAAUUAUAUAUUUUUAAUUGAAUAUUUUGCGCAUCAACAUUGAUGGAAAAUCUGUCAUUACUUUUAAGCCUUGUCUCUGAUGGAGAUCUGUUUGUAUCUAUCUAUGUACCCAUACCUGAGUAGUGCAACUCACUGCAGGUCAAAAAAUUACAACCUCCAAUGAUUGCAGUGGGAGAACUUAAUGGUUCUUCAUUUGCGUGUAUCUUCUACAGAGAAAUUCAGUGAGUGUUAGAGCACUGUGGAAACAAUCUUUGUGAUUGUUUGAGUUCUUCAGCACUGUAAUGACUGUGGCAUCUCCACCACUGACCGUCAGUAGUGCCUUCUGUCCAAAUUUACUUCUUUGUAUUUUUGGCAACUGCUCAUUUUUUUCUUAUUUAUAGUUGGGAUACAGUUGGAAUCCCUGUGAAUUUCUUCUGCAGAAAGAGGUAGACAAGAUUAUAUGUAAUGUGUAAGGUCAUUCAUGGGAUUAUCCUUCCUGAGUGCGCAGACCUAAACUGUGUUGACUAAUAAGAGAAAUAAUGACUUUGAAGUAGGACCAGAGAAAACGAUGCAGAGAGGGCUGGUUUCCCUCUUCCUGGGUUGAUGCAGUCUUGUGUUCCUAAGGCUGAAAGCCAGGGCUCACAGGGAUCUGAAGCUUUAAAUGCUGGUCUCAGGGAGAGGAGAAAAGGAAGUAGUCCAAGGAAUGCUGGCAAAAGCUGCCAGGAAUGCAGCAGGGAAGGCCCAUGAGCAGGAGUGCCUGUCUCUCCUAGCCAGAUAUCUGGAUUAGCUGUACUGAGGGGACUUUCCAGUCAUUGCUUGUGAGCCUUGUAGAGCUAAGGGAAAACAUGAAUGUUGUAAGACUCAUUAUACUGCUGCUUUGUGCUGCAGGGUUGACACAGCUAUUAAUUCAGUACUUUGAAUUCUGGAAGCCAAAGCACUUGUUUCAGAUCUCAAAAAGGUUAGCAUUUACAAGAUGCCACCUCCUUAUUUAAUCAAAGCUUCACAAGGAGACUCUGGAAGAAUAGAACUUUUCAGCUUGGCACACACAUCAAAAUUUUACAUAGCGAGUGAGGCAGGCACUCUUGACCAAAUGGAAACCAACCUCUGCUGGCACGUGAAAGCCUUGCAUUAUAAAACUCAGGUUCAUCAUAGAGAUGUUCUAUUCUCAUCUUUUAUAGGAAGAAUGUAACAGAUGAGGUUUUCUGAUACUCUGCUAGUCUGACAUCUGCAGGGGUCACUCUGCAUCUGCAAACCAAUGGAUGGAACCUCAGCUGAAGCCAGUGAAACCUCCCUACCUUGUGUUAGCAGGGCGUGGAGACGUUAGCAGUAUUAUUUCUUUUUCAGAUGCAGUCAGCUGGUGGGAGAUACCAAAGCCUGUAGUGGCUGCACUAAACACAAAGUCUUGUGAAAACUCUAAUGAUAUAAGCCCUGUGCAUGUUCAUAACUGUAAUAAUCAUUACUAAUAACUUGCUUUUGGAUCCUGUUACUCAGCAGUCUAAAAGUGUUAACUGCUACCUAAAUAUAGAUGAAAAAGUGACUCUGAAAGACUUUGUGUCUUUGUUUCAAUCUGUCUUAUGAAAAUGAAAGCUGGAACGCUGCAUGAGAAAAAUCUUGAAGUCUUUCACGGAUAAAACCUUUAGAUAUGA